AAACCUUCCGCGGUCGGGGUGAAUCUCCGGUGUCUCCCACUGUCGUUCUGCAAUCAAUGAGUCCAUCUGGGUCCAGCCUGUCGGUUUUUGGUGGGUCUUCGUCCCACGUGGCAUUAACUGUUAAUGAUCCUGCAGACUCCCCUAAUGGCUCUGAGUCGUCCUCUAGUUCCUCUGCUUCUCGCUCUAAAGCCGCUGAUAUUCUGCCAGAUUCGUCAAUUCCUGAGGAUAUGGGUAAGAAGCGCAAGGAAAUUGUUAAGCCUGACACGGA